UACGUAGGGGGCAAGCGUUGUCCGGAUUUAUUGGGCGUAAAGAGCGUGUAGGCGGCCAGGUAGGUCUGCUGUGAAAACUCGAGGCUCAACCUCGAGAUGUCGGCGGAAACCAUCUGGCUAGAGUCCGGAAGAGGAGAAUGGAAUUCCCGGUGUAGCGGUGAAAUGCGCAGAUAUCGGGAAGAACACCCGUGGCGAAGGCGGUUCUCUGGGACGGUACUGACGCUGAGGAGCGAAAGCAUGGGGAGCGAACAGG
rnacentral:rRNA from 1 species